UCCUGGCUGUAAACGAUGCGGGCUAGGUCUUGCAAGUCCCACGGGGGCCUGCAGGGCCGGAGGGAAGCCGUUAAGCCCGCCGCCUGGGGAGUACGGCCGCAAGGCUGAAACUUGAAGGAAUUGGCGGGGGGGCACCACAAGGGGUGGGACCUGCGGUUCAAUUGGAUUCAACGCCGGGAACCUCACCCGGGCCAACGGCAGGAUGAAGGUCAGGCUGAAGGCCUUACCUGACA
rnacentral:rRNA from 1 species